AGUUUCGCUCUUGUUGCCCAGGCUGGAGUGCAGUGGCGCGAUCUCGGCUCACAGCAACCUCCGCCUCCCGGGUUCAAGUGAGUCUCCUGCCUCAGCCUCCCGACUAGCUGGGAUUACAGGCAUGCGCCACCCCCGGCUAAUUUUGUAUUUUUAGUAGAGGCGGGGUUUCUCUAUGUUGGUCAGGCUGGUCUGGAAAUCCCGACCUCAGGUGAUCCGCCCGCCUCGGCCUCCCAAAGUGCUGGAAUUACAGGCUUGAGCCACCGCGCACGGCUUUGCCCGCAAGCGUUUUGAAUUUUGUGGCCCGGAAUUCACUGCGAGGACUGGGAUCACCCAUCACCCUUCCCUGGUCUACGGAAAAUGAAACGUGUUUACUGAUACAGAAACGGAAUAACGGCACUUUGGGCUGGGGAGGGCCGAGCUGCCUCAGGCUUCUGGUCUCCAGCUGCGCGGCACUCACACCUGCCGCUGUGAAAAUGCAGACCCGCGGGGCAGGAAUUCCGAGUCCAGGCUGGAGCGCGAUCUGGAAUCUGACUCGCUGGAAACAGCACCGCGGUGGAUUCGGACCUGGGUGACAUAGGAGGAUGCCAGCUUUGAGUGGAGCCUCCACAGGAAAGGACACUGCAGCAGAUCCAGGCCAUGGCGCAGUCAC
rnacentral:lncRNA from 10 species